GAUGAACGCUGGCGGCGUGCCUAACACAUGCAAGUCGAGCGAUUCACUUCGGUGAAGAGCGGCGGACGGGCGAGUAACGCGUGGGUAACCUGCCUCAUACACAUGGAUAACAUACCGAAAGGUAUGCUAAUACAGGAUAAUAUGAGAGAUUCGCAUGGAUUUCUUAUCAAAGCUCCGGCGGUAUGAGAUGGACCCGCGUCUGAUUAGCUAGUUGGUAAGGUAAUGGCUUACCAAGGCGACGACCAGUAGCCGACCUGAGAGGGUGAUCGGCCACAUUGGAACUGAGACACGGUCCAAACUCCUACGGGAGGCAGCAGUGGGGAAUAUUGCACAAUGGGCGAAAGCCUGAUGCAGCAACGCCGCGUGAGUGAUGAAGGCCUUCGGGUCGUAAAACUCUGUCCUCAAGGAAGAUAAUGACGGUACUUGAGGAGGAAGCCCCGGCUAACUACGUGCCAGCCGCCGCAGUAAUAC
rnacentral:rRNA from 1 species